rnacentral:rRNA from 1 species
CCCAUAUAGGUCCAGUGGCUGCCGGAGCUAACGCGUUAAAUCGACCGCCUGGGGAGUACGGCCGCAAGGUUAAAACUCAAAUGAAUUGACGGGGGCCCGCACAAGCGGUGGAGCAUGU